rnacentral:rRNA from 1 species
UACGAAGGGGGCUAGCGUUGUUCGGAAUGACUGGGCGUAAAGCGCGCGCAGGCGGCUAUCCAAGUCAGUGGUGAAAGCCCGGAGCUCAACUCCGGAACUGCCAUUGAAACUGUUUAGCUUGAGGAUGAGAGAGGUGAGUGGAAUUCCCAGUGUAGAGGUGAAAUUCGUAGAUAUCGGGAGGAAGGCCGGUGGCGAAGGCGGCGCUCUGGAACAUUUCUGACGCUGAGGCUCGAAAGCGUGGGGAGCAAACAGG